rnacentral:rRNA from 1 species
GAUGAACGCUGGCGGCGUGCCUAAUACAUGCAAGUCGAGCGAACGGACAAGAAGCUUGCUUCUCUGAUGUUAGCGGCGGACGGGUGAGUAACACGUGGAUAACCUACCUAUAAGACUGGGAUAACUUCGGGAAACCGGAGCUAAUACCGGAUAAUAUUUUGAACCGCAUGGUUCAAAAGUGAAAGACGGUCUUGCUGUCACUUAUAGAUGGAUCCGCGCUGCAUUAGCUAGUUGGUAAGGUAACGGCUUACCAAGGCAACGAUGCAUAGCCGACCUGAGAGGGUGAUCGGCCACACUCGAACUGAGACACGGUCCAGACUCCUACGGGAGGCAGCAGUAGGGAAUCUUCCGCAAUGGGCGAAAGCCUGACGGAGCAACGCCGCGUGAGUGAUGAAGGUCUUCGGAUCGUAAAACUCUGUUAUUAGGGAAGAACAUAUGUGUAAGUAACUGUGCACAUCUUGACGGUACCUAAUCAGAAAGCCACGGCUAACUACGUG